rnacentral:rRNA from 1 species
AUUGAACGCUGGCGGCAGGCUUAACACAUGCAAGUCGAGCGGGGGAAGGUAGCUUGCUACCGGACCUAGCGGCGGACGGGUGAGUAAUGCUUAGGAAUCUGCCUAUUAGUGGGGGACAACAUCUCGAAAGGGAUGCUAAUACCGCAUACGUCCUACGGGAGAAAGCAGGGGAUCUUCGGACCUUGCGCUAAUAGAUGAGUCUAAGUCGGAUUAGCUAGUUGGGGGGGUAAAGGCUUACCAAGGCGGCGAUCUGUAGCGGGUUUGAGAGGAUGAUCCGACACACUGGGACUGGGACACGGCCCAGACUCCUACGGGAGGCAGCAGUGGGGAAUAUUGGACAAUGGGGGGAACCCUGAUCCAGCCAUGCCGCGUGUGUGAAGAAGGCCUUAUGGUUGUAAAGCACUUUAAGCGAGGAGGAGGCUACUUUAGUUAAUACCUAGAGAUAGUGGACGUUACUCGCAGAAUAAGCACCGGCUAACUCUGUGCCAGCCGCCGCGGUAA